rnacentral:rRNA from 1 species
GAUGAACGCUGGCGGCGUGCCUAAUACAUGCAAGUCGAGCGAACAGACGAGGAGCUUGCUCCUCUGACGUUAGCGGCGGACGGGUGAGUAACACGUGGAUAACCUACCUAUAAGACAGGGAUAACUUCGGGAAACCGGAGCUAAUACCGGAUAACAUGUUGAACCGCAUGGUUCAACAGUGAAAUACGGUCUUGCUGUCACUUAUAGAUGGAUCCGCGCCGCAUCAGCUAGUUGGUAAGGUAACGGCUUACCAAGGCGACGAUGCGUACCCGACCUGAGCGGGUGGACGGGCACACUGGAACAGAGGAAGGGUCGAGACUCCUACGGGGGGCAGCAGUAGGGAAUCUUCCGCGAUGGGCGAAAGCCUGACGGUGCAACGCCGCGUGAGUGAAGAAGGUCUUCGGAUCGUAAAACUCUGUUAUUAGGGAAGAACAAAUGUGUAAGUAACUAUGCACGUCCUGACGGUACCUAAUCAGAAAGCCACGGCUAACUACGUG